rnacentral:sRNA from 1 species
CCACAGCUGAAAAAUUUUUUCUGAUGUUCUCGCCAGGAUACGAACCCAGGCGUUCAGCGUCAUAGGCGGACGUGCUGCGCUAUGGUGGACUGCCCAUCUGGUUUAGCAAAUAUCCGUGCUUUUGCUCUCUAUAAGAUCUAAAGUAGUAUCCAUGUUUUUUUUCUUGUUUUAUCUGUGGCAUUCUUUCUGAUCUGAUCCUCAUCAAGCUUCUUUAGGUGAGCAAACUUGUUCCGGUCGUGACGCCAAUAACUCGCCUUGUCAUAUCGAGCAUCAUAGGCACUCAGUAUAUGUACAAGAGCCGGUUCCGCUCGACCCCUCACUGAGACUCUCCGUUCGAUACCGCUGAUUGUUCGCGACAGCCGGUGCAGCUACACCGUAGGGAGCAUUCCACUAUCCGUAAUCUGUGGACGCGGUUGAUAGCUCGCAGCAUCAUAGGCACUCAGUAUUUGUACAAAAGCCGGUUCCGCCCGACCCCUCACUGAGACUCUCCGUUCGAUACCGCUGAUUGUUCGCGACUGCCGGUGCAGCUCCUCCGUAUGGAGCAUUCCACUAUCCGUAACCUGUGGACGCGUUUGGUAGCUCGCAGCUUCAUAUGUACUCAGAAUUUAUGCAAGAGCCGGUUCCGCCCGACCUCUCACUGAGACUCUCCGUUCGAUACCGCUGAUUGUCCGCGACUGCCGGUGCAGCUACUCCGUAUGGGGCAUUCCAGCUUACGGCUAAGCCUGUCGUGACAGCAAUGAACACCACACAGAUCGUAUCUCAAUAUUUCAGCCCGUGUGGUGCUCACAGCUAUCCCGUGACGGGGUACGUAGCGGAUGAUCCCGAUAAAGUCCUUCAUUGGCAAAGGCUGCCGCCUCUGUGUACAUUCACACUGCUAUAACAACAACAGUAGAUUUUUUCUCUCGCUUUGACUGGCCUAUUAUCUCUCUCGCUUUGACUGGCCUACUAUGCCAAUAGCAUAGACGUUCAGCAUGCAUUAGAGCCAAUAUCGUGUGGCGUUUGUUCAAAAUCUACAGACUGGCUUUGGUUCGGGGAGGUUCUUUUCCGUUUUAGUCAAGUUUGUCGGGGACAGUUUGUUUUGCAGGGAUGCCAAACAUAGACAUGGCUUCGAAUAUUCUGCAAAAUUUCAAGCGGCUAUCUUUAUAGGUGCGAACGCAAUCUUCAGAAUGUCAAGACGUAGCCUGUCCUAUUUAUAAGCGCCAUCAUUAAGGUGUCAAGUCCUGGGACCCACAGAGAGUUUAGCUCGGUUAGAGAUUAGAAUGUGUCUUAUAACGCUGAAAGCCUUAUUUCGAAACCUGGUGAGAACAUCGGUCUCAGCGACGCAGCCAUGUCGCUCUAAAUAAUACUGUCCGAUUUAAGUUGUACUAAAACUCGAAUCGGCCAAAAAUUUGUAAUUUUGCCUCGGACCAACAAUACUUUCGCUGGCUGUAGUUUUCUAAUGGAUGGGACAAUCACCACUUUAUCGCAGACGUUUGCAUGUCUGCUUUACCGUUGCCUCGGGCCAUCCCUUAAUAUGGUUGAAGCCUUAGCUGCAGCAAGCCUUUUAAUUACCGUGAUGACAAGCAGAUUUGCCAGAAAGGCAUUUAGAUUCCUGGCUGGCCUCGGACAUCAGUUGUUUUGACGAUGAUGGGGAAGGAUGUAAGUGACAGACGCACCAAAGGCCUUCUUGAGACCUAGCGUUACUCGGUGGGUACGAUGGUGUGCGGCACUCGAUGCAUCGUAAAACAGGAGAAGUGUGGUGCCAAGCUAUCCGCAAUGCUCCAGAAACUAGAAAAGGAAAACGUGGUGCGGGGUGGCAUCUAGAGCUGUCGGCAGGCCUCUUGAAACUAGAACUUGCACAAGACGCGCCGGCUGGAGUUGUUGACAAGCCACCAGAGACGGAUAAGACACGGCGUGAGGAGUUAUCUUCAAGCUAGCAGAAACUAGACCUGUAUGGCGGCUGGAGCUUUAGAUUCGAACCUCGUUUCCUAGUUCCUCGGUUAAGGUCGAUUACUUUUUCUGUCUAGUGAAAUUGUGUUAUUUUUUCUGUUUGCUACGAUUAAGGCAAUUGAUUUUUUGUUUUAAAAUCUUAAAAUGUGGUUUGGAUCAAACAGACCUUUUCCUCAGCAGACAAACAUAGCCAGUACAUACACAUCCAUACAUUUCCUAUGACAUAUUAUAAUUUGGGAUUACAAAUGAAAUUGUAACAUUAAGCCUAAAUUUGAUCAAUAAAAAAAAUUCCAAAUGAAUUUGUUUUUGUUUUUAUUUCUUGUUUAUGACUACCUUGUUCGCGUUCUGACUGUGACUAAUGUUCCCGAAGAGAAGAGGCAGUGGUAGCAGCUCUUUUUCACGAGACAAUAAUCGGUCAACAGUCAUAUAAGGCGAAAUAACAGUGACUGAUUCUAAAGUUCACCCAAUUGUGGACUUAGUGUCAUAUGAUUUCAAGCUUUCGUCGAAGUUGGGUAAGAAAACGCGUGAGACGACAGCAGCAGGAGCCACGACAUUUCAUAUCAAGACCUUGAUAGUGCCCAACACAACGUUGCGUUGGGUUGUAGCCAAGGAUGAAAAAUACAGCCGCAUGAAAUCCUAAGUGUUUUCACUUUUACACAUUUCAAGUUAAUUAUUAAUCCAAUUAGAAUAAAGUACGUCGCAUUGCUCAACUGUGGUUAAA